GGUCAGGUAGCCAGCUAGCGGUUAAGGCAGCCCAUGCGUGUUGGGUCCGGAUCCCUUGGAUCUGGUCGCUGGUUCAAAUCCAGCCCCGACCA
rnacentral:tRNA from 1 species